CAAGUAGGGUAAUCUUCCACAAUGGGCGAAAGCCUGAUGGAGCAACGCCGCGUGUGUGAUGAAGGGUUUCGGCUCGUAAAACACUGUUGUAAGAGAAGAAUGACAUUGAGAGUAACUGUUCAAUGUGUGACGGUAUCUUACCAGAAAGGAACGGCUAAAUACGUGCCAG
rnacentral:rRNA from 1 species